rnacentral:rRNA from 1 species
CCCUUAGAUGUUCUGGGCCGCACACGCGCUACACUGAAGGAGGCAGCGUGUACUCCUGGAUCGAAAGAUUUGGGUAACCCGCGAAUCUCCUUCGUGCUAGGGAUUGAGGUUUGCAAUUAUCCUUCAUGAACGAGGAAUUCCCAGUAAGUGCAAGUCAUAAGCUUGCGCUGACUACGUCCCUGCCCUUUGUACACACCGCCCGUCGCUACUACCGAGUGAAUGAUUUAGUGAGGACUUCGGACUGGGACCGAUGCGGCUUUCGGGCUGCGUCGGUAUUCUGGAAAGAUGUCCAAACUGUAUCAUUUAGAGGAAGUAAAAGUCGUAACA